GAUUAACGCUGGCGGCGUGCAUAACACAUGCAAGUCGAACGAUGAAACUUAACUGAUUUCUUCGGAAUGAUUUUAAGUGGAUUAGUGGCGGACGGGUGAGUAACGCGUGAGUAACCUGCCUUGGAGAAGGGGAUAGCCUUUGGAAACGAAGAAUAAUACCCUAUGAUAUGAUAAUAUCUCAUGAUAUUAUCAUCAAAGAUUUAUCGCUCUAAGAUGGACUUGCGUCUGAUUAGUUAGUUGGUGAGGUAACAGCUCACCAAGGCAGCGAUCAGUAGCCGGCUUGAGAGAGUGUACGGCCACAUUGGGACUGAGACACGGCCCAGACUCCUACGGGAGGCAGCAGUGGGGAAUUUUGCACAAUGGGGGAAACCCUGAUGCAGCGACGCCGCGUGAUUGAGAAGGCCUUCGGGUUGUAAAAAUCUUUUGUAUGGGAAGAAAAUGACAGUACCAUACGAAUAAGAACCGGCUAAUUACGUG
rnacentral:rRNA from 1 species